rnacentral:rRNA from 1 species
ACACCGGCAGCUCAAGUGGUGGCCAUUUUUAUUGGGCCUAAAGCGUUCGUAGCCGGCUUGAUAAGUCUCUGGUGAAAUCCCAUAGCUUAACUGUGGGAAUUACUGGAGAUACUAUUAGGCUUGAGGAACCGGGAGAGGUUAGGGGUACUCCCAGGGUAGGGGUGAAAUCCUAUAAUCCUGGGAGGACCACCUGUGGCGAAGGCGCCUAACUGGAACGGACCUGACGGUGAGUAACGAAAGCCAGGGGCGC